rnacentral:snRNA from 1 species
AAUAAGAAACAAGUUAGUUCUUCA